rnacentral:lncRNA from 1 species
CUCAUGGAUGGAUCUCUUCUUCUCCCUCCUUGCAAGGCUCAAAAAAGUUCUAGAAUCCGAAGAUUUGGGGGUUCCAAGAUUGAUUCUAAAGUAAAGGUAUAGAAAUCUUUUUAUAAAUGUGAGGAGAGAGAGAGAGAGGAUGUAUUUGUAUUUUCUAGACGUAGGAUUAAAGAAAAAAGAUAUAUAAAUGGCUAGGAUUUAUUUUUACAAAUAAUGAAGGG